UGAAACGUAAAAGAUAAUAUAUUCAAACAAAUUGGUAUAAAAUAUUUAAAUUCCGAGAUCGGGCAGAUUCUGUGGCCCGAGGGUGGAAAACAAAAACCCAAUCCAUUAUCCAUGGCGUGAAGACAGAUGUAGCUGUCGUAAAAGAAUGCAAUUAAUUUAAAAGUAACAAGAAUUAAUUAGUGUAAACAUAAUAUUAAAACAAGGUUUAUAUGAAUAAAUAAAUCCAUCUUAAUUUGGUGCCGUCAAUGUUAAAUAUUUACCGUCCGUCUUUUAGGAAACAAAACAAACGGCGGGCCCACCGCCGUUAGAAUCUCUCUCUGUUAGCCGACGCGGCCACCAUUCUCUCUCCUCUUGUCUCCCCAUCUCUCUCCGUAAUCAUUCUCCACGCGUCGCGUUGACCACGUGGCACUAUACAUCUUUUAAACAAACAAAAAGAUAAAUGAAAACUUCUUUAGAAAUUUUAUAAUUUAAUUAAAUAACGAGUGCGUUG
rnacentral:lncRNA from 1 species